GAUGAACGCUGGCGGCGUGCCUAAUACAUGCAAGUCGAGCGAACAGACGAGGAGCUUGCUCCUCUGACGUUAGCGGCGGACGGGUGAGUAACACGUGGAUAACCUACCUAUAAGACUGGGAUAACUUCGGGAAACCGGAGCUAUUACCGGAUAAUAUAUUGAACCGCAUGGUUCAAUAGUGAAAGACGGUUUUGCUGUCACUUAUAGAUGGAUCCGCGCCGCAUUAGCUAGUUGGUAAGGUAACGGCUUACCAAGGCAACGAUGCGUAGCCGACCUGAGAGGGUGAUCGGCCACACUGGAACUGAGACACGGUACAGACUCCUACGGGAGGCAGCAGUAGGGAAUCUUCCGCAAUGGGCGAAAGCCUGACGGAGCAACGCCGCGUGAGUGAUGAAGGUCUUCGGAUCGUAAAACUCUGUUAUUAGGGAAGAACAAAUGUGUAAGUAACUAUGCACGUCUUGACGGUACCUAAUCAGAAAGCCACGGCUAACUACGUG
rnacentral:rRNA from 1 species